rnacentral:rRNA from 1 species
UACGAAGGGUGCAAGCGUUACUCGGAAUUACUGGGCGUAAAGCGUGCGUAGGCGGUCUGUUAAGUCCGUUGUGAAAGCCCUGGGCUCAACCUGGGAAUUGCAGUGGAUACUGGCGGGCUAGAGUGCGGUAGAGGAGGGUGGAAUUCCCGGUGUAGCGGUGAAAUGCGUAGAGAUCGGGAGGAACACCCGUGGCGAAGGCGGCCAUCUGGACCAGCACUGACGCUGAGGCACGAAAGCGUGGGGAGCAAACAGG